GAUGAACGCUGGCGGCGUGCCUAAUACAUGCAAGUCGAGCGAAGCGGGGAAGGGUGAGUAACACGUGGAUAAACUCAUAUAAGACUGGGAUAACUUCGGGAAACCGGAGCUAAACCGGAAACUUAUAGAUGGAUCCGCGCUGCAUUAGCUAGUUGGUAAGGUAACGGCUUACAAAGGCAACUAUGCAUAGCCGACCUGAGAGGGUGAGCGGCCAAACGGGAACUGAGACACGGGCCAGACUCCUACGGGAGGCAACCGUAGGGAAUCUUCCGCAAUGGGCUAAAGCCUGACGGAGCAACGCCGCGUGAGGGAUGAAGGUCGUCGGAUCGUAAAACUCUGUUAUUAGGGAAGCGGUACCUAAUCAGAAAGCCACGGCUAACUACGUGCCAGCAGCCGCGGUAAUAC
rnacentral:rRNA from 1 species